AUUGAACGCUAGCGGGAUGCUUUACACAUGCAAGUCGAACGAGUGGCGGACGGGUGAGUAAUAUAUCGGAACGUGCCCAGUAGCGGGGGAUAACUACUCGAAAGAGUGGCUAAUACCGCAUACUAUUGGAGCGGCCGAUAUCGGAUUAGCUAGUUGGUGGGGUAAAGGGUCACCAAGGCAACGAUCCGUAGCUGGUUUGAGAGGAGGACCAGCCACACUGGGACUGAGACACGGCCCAGACUCCUACGGGAGGCAGCAGUGGGGAAUAUUGUACAAUGGGGGAAAGCCUGAUCCAGCCAUCCCGCGUGUAUGAGAAGGCCUUAGGGUUGUAAAGUACUUUUGGCGGAGAAGCGUUAUCUGCAGAAUAAGCACCGGCUAACUACGUGCCAGCAGCCGCGGUAAUUC
rnacentral:rRNA from 1 species